rnacentral:rRNA from 1 species
GACGAACGCUGGCGGCGUGCUUAACACAUGCAAGUCGAACGGAAAGGCCCUGCUUUUGUGGGGUGCUCGAGUGGCGAACGGGUGAGUAACACGUGAGUAACCUGCCCUUGACUUUGGGAUAACUUCAGGAAACUGGGGCUAAUACCGGAUAGGAGCUCCUGCUGCAUGGUGGGGGUUGGAAAGUUUCGGCGGUUGGGGAUGGACUCGCGGCUUAUCAGCUUGUUGGUGGGGUAGUGGCUUACCAAGGCUUGGACGGGUAGCCGGCCUGAGAGGGUGACCGGCCACAUUGGGACGGAGAUACGGCCCAGACUCCUACGGGAGGCAGCAGUGGGGAAUAUUGCACAAUGGGCGGAAGCCUGAUGCAGCAACGCCGCGUGCGGGAUGACGGCCUUCGGGUUGUAAACCGCUUUCGCCUGUGACGAAGCGUGAGUGACGGUAAUGGGUAAAGAAGCACCGGCUAACUACGUG